GACGAACGCUGGCGGCGUGCUUAACACAUGCAAGUCGAACGGAAAGGCCCUGCUUUUGUGGGGUGCUCGAGUGGCGAACGGGUGAGUAACACGUGAGUAACCUGCCCUUGACUUUGGGAUAACUUCAGGAAACUGGGGCUAAUACCGGAUAGGAGCUCCUGCUGCAUGGUGUGGGUUGGAAAGUUUCGGCGGUUGGGGAUGGACUCGCGGCUUAUCAGCUUGUUGGUGGGGUAGUGGCUUACCAAGGCUUUGACGGGUAGCCGGCCUGAGAGGGUGACCAGCCACAUUGGGACUGAGAGACGGCCCAGACUCCUACGGGAGGCAGCAGUGGGAAAUACUGCAGAAUGGGCGGAAGCGUGAUGCAGCAACGCCGCGUGCGGGAUGACGGCCUUCGGGUUGUAAACCGCUGUCGCCUGUGACGAAGCGUGAGUGACGGUAAUGGGUAAAGAAGCACCGGCUAACUACGUG
rnacentral:rRNA from 1 species